UACGUAGGGUGCAAGCGUUGUCCGGAAUUAUUGGGCGUAAAGAGCUCGUAGGCGGUCUGUCGCGUCGGCUGUGGAAACUCGGGGCUCAACCCCGAGCCUGCAGUCGAUACGGGCAGACUAGAGUGCUGUAGGGGAGACUGGAAUUCCUGGUGUAGCGGUGAAAUGCGCAGAUAUCAGGAGGAACACCGGUGGCGAAGGCGGGUCUCUGGGCAGUAACUGACGCUGAGGAGCGAAAGCGUGGGGAGCGAACAGG
rnacentral:rRNA from 1 species